CAGAGGACCAUCACUACCUUCGGCUGAUUCUACCAGCAGAUACUGAAAGGACUCUGUUAGUUCGGAACUAACCCGAAAAAUGAGCUGAGGUGAUGCACUUGCAUCCGAUGUCAUUCCUGCUGUGACCAUGCUCAUGAGGCUUCUGACCAAUGAAACGGAUGAGGACCAUGGCAUUAAAGCCAUGAAGAAGACUUUGGCUGCAGCCGUCAAGAGGCGCCUCAGUGAUGGGGAAACAAACCCAAUGUACUGCAUCGCGACUCUUCUCGAUCCGAGGUACAAAGAUCGCUUUUUCUCAAACAGUGACACUGCUACAGAGGCCAAGGAGAUGCUGAUGCUGGAGCUGCAGAGGAUGUCCACAGGAGAGGCAGACAAGCAGGAGGAUCUUGGAGAGCCACCUGUCAGGAAGCUUCCUAAGGUGCAAGCCAGCAGCAGUCUGGACAGUUUGUUUGAUGAGAUAGCAGAGUGAAAGUAGCAGUUCCUCCUGAAGGUCAGAGAUUGCAGCAUCUGAGGGCCUCUUCAAAAGAAGACGUAGUUGAUGAAGGCGUUCUGGAGCAGGACCAGAAAGACCACGACCAAGCAGCCUUGAGAUCUUAGGCAGCGUCUCCCUGAGGUCCCUCUCUAUCUCCCCACACAUCCACCAACCACUGGAACACAUCUCCAAAGUUCUGCUGGACCAGCUCAGCUUCCCCUCAGAAGAAGUGGCGCCACCUGCCAGAUGAAGGAGCCUUUUGAGAGGCAGCUGGCAUCGUGAUUGGACUGUACUUUGGUCUGUUCCAAUCCAGCUUCAGCUCCAGAGACGGCAGGCGGGACAAGUCAACGGAGGCCGGGUGGACGAAGACAUGCAGCUGAGUACAAUCUAGAAAACAACAGAGGAGGAGGAAACAAACAUAGUAGUAUAGUAGAAAAUAUACAUAGUAUAUUGUAUAAAUAACAAGUCAAAGGAAAGAGACAUACAUUGUAGAAUUGUAGUAAUUGUGAACUGACUGAUUUACUGAUUAUCAGUAUUUUAUUUUUUACCGGUAAUAAAU
ensembl:lncRNA